rnacentral:rRNA from 1 species
CCUACGGGAGGCAGCAGUGGGGAAUUUUGGACAAUGGGCGCAAGCCUGAUCCAGCAAUGCCGCGUGCAGGAUGAAGGCCUUCGGGUUGUAAACUGCUUUUGUACGGAACGAAAAGGUCUGCCCUAAUACGGUGGGCCCAUGACGGUACCGUAAGAAUAAGCACCGGCUAACUACGUGCCAGCAGCCGCGGUAAUACGUAGGGUGCGAGCGUUAAUCGGAAUUACUGGGCGUAAAGCGUGCGCAGGCGGUUAUAUAAGACAGAUGUGAAAUCCCCGGGCUCAACCUGGGACCUGCAUUUGUGACUGUAUAGCUAGAGUACGGUAGAGGGGGAUGGAAUUCCGCGUGUAGCAGUGAAAUGCGUAGAUAUGCGGAGGAACACCGAUGGCGAAGGCAAUCCCCUGGACCUGUACUGACGCUCAUGCACGAAAGCGUGGGGAGCAAACAGGAUUAGAUACCCUGGUAGUCCACGCCCUAAACGAUGUCAACUGGUUGUUGGGUCUUCACUGACUCAGUAACGAAGCUAACGCGUGAAGUUGACCGCCUGGGGAGUCGGCCGCAAGGUUGAAACUUAAAGGAAUUGACGGNGUGAGNGNGCGACGACGACGACGAGGGAGGAGG